GGGGUAGUAAAGGUUUCGACAGGGGUCUUGCAGCUGGAGAAGCGAGUCGCAUGCAAUGCGUUAAAUGGCAAAAUUAAAAUUAAACGCUGAAGAUAAUUUAGCAUACGCAGCCUAAUGGCUGCAGUCGGCUCUUAGGCACCUACGCCUAGGAAUCCCGGCUUCGACUACGUAGGAAACGACACUGCCAAAGCUUUGAGGCAGUGGGCGUAUUAUGAAGCUACCGAAACCGUAAGGGUGUUUGUUCCCGGACGGAGGUAGGGAAUGCCAAAUAACAAACUACACUCGUAGAAGUACAGGGAAUGGGCUUUUGGACACGGGUUCGACUCCCGUCUACUCCA
rnacentral:tmRNA from 1 species